rnacentral:tRNA from 1 species
GGGCGAAUGGUUUAGUGGUAUAAUACUCCCUUAGCAUGGCGCGAUCUGAGGAUGUUUAAAAUCUUCUAGGAUUGGCAGUGCAAAAUCUGGGAGUGGUCCAGGGUUCGAUUCCCUGUUCGUCCA